AAGUAUUAUAGCUCUUUUAGAAAUUUGCUAGCAGGUUGUCCAGUCUCCACUGUUUAGGUAGUAUCGUGUUACCCCU
rnacentral:snRNA from 1 species